GUACGGCUGAUCUGGCGACAACGCGAGAUCGGCUCACAACGUGCCCCAACCGAGGUCGGCUACGACCUGGCGGGCGCGGAAUCCGUCCAGUGUGCGUUCGAGUCGCACCGGGGGCACCA
rnacentral:tRNA from 1 species